AGAGUUUGAUCAUGGCUCAGAUUGAACGCUGGCGGCAGGCCUAACACAUGCAAGUCGAGCGGUAGCACAGAGAGCUUGCUCUCGGGUGACGAGCGGCGGACGGGUGAGUAAUGUCUGGGAAACUGCCUGAUGGAGGGGGAUAACUACUGGAAACGGUAGCUAAUACCGCAUAACGUCGCAAGACCAAAGUGGGGGACCUUCGGGCCUCAUGCCAUCAGAUGUGCCCAGAUGGGAUUAGCUAGUAGGUGAGGUAACGGCUCACCUAGGCGACGAUCCCUAGCUGGUCUGAGAGGAUGACCAGCCACACUGGAACUGAGACACGGUCCAGACUCCUACGGGAGGCAGCAGUGGGGAAUAUUGCACAAUGGGCGCAAGCCUGAUGCAGCCAUGCCGCGUGUGUGAAGAAGGCCUUCGGGUUGUAAAGCACUUUCAGCGGGGAGGAAGGCGUUAAGGUUAAUAACCUUGGCGAUUGACGUUACCCGCAGAAGAAGCACCGGCUAACUCCGUGCCAGCAGCCGCGGUAAUACGGAGGGUGCAAGCGUUAAUCGGAAUUACUGGGCGUAAAGCGCACGCAGGCGGUCUGUCAAGUCGGAUGUGAAAUCCCCGGGCUUAACCUGGGAACUGCAUUCGAAACUGGCAGGCUAGAGUCUUGUAGAGGGGGGUAGAAUUCCAGGUGUAGCGGUGAAAUGCGUAGAGAUCUGGAGGAAUACCGGUGGCGAAGGCGGCCCCCUGGACAAAGACUGACGCUCAGGUGCGAAAGCGUGGGGAGCAAACAGGAUUAGAUACCCUGGUAGUCCACGCCGUAAACGAUGUCGAUUUGGAGGUUGUGCCCUUGAGGCGUGGCUUCCGGAGCUAACGCGUUAAAUCGACCGCCUGGGGAGUACGGCCGCAAGGUUAAAACUCAAAUGAAUUGACGGGGGCCCGCACAAGCGGUGGAGCAUGUGGUUUAAUUCGAUGCAACGCGAAGAACCUUACCUGGUCUUGACAUCCACAGAACUUAGCAGAGAUGCUUUGGUGCCUUCGGGAACUGUGAGACAGGUGCUGCAUGGCUGUCGUCAGCUCGUGUUGUGAAAUGUUGGGUUAAGUCCCGCAACGAGCGCAACCCUUAUCCUUUGUUGCCAGCGGUCCGGCCGGGAACUCAAAGGAGACUGCCAGUGAUAAACUGGAGGAAGGUGGGGAUGACGUCAAGUCAUCAUGGCCCUUACGACCAGGGCUACACACGUGCUACAAUGGCAUAUACAAAGAGAAGCGACCUCGCGAGAGCAAGCGGACCUCAUAAAGUAUGUCGUAGUCCGGAUUGGAGUCUGCAACUCGACUCCAUGAAGUCGGAAUCGCUAGUAAUCGUAGAUCAGAAUGCUACGGUGAAUACGUUCCCGGGCCUUGUACACACCGCCCGUCACACCAUGGGAGUGGGUUGCAAAAGAAGUAGGUAGCUUAACCUUCGGGAGGGCGCUUACCACUUUGUGAUUCAUGACUGGGGUGAAGUCGUAACAAGGUAACCGUAGGGGAACCUGCGGUUGGAUCACCU
rnacentral:rRNA from 1 species